UGGCGGCAGGCCUAACACAUGCAAGUCGAGCGGUAACAUUUCUAGCUUGCUAGAAGAUGACGAGCGGCGGACGGGUGAGUAACGCGUAGAAAUCUACCUAGUAGUGGGGGACAGCCCAGAGAAAUUUGGAUUAAUACCGCAUACGCCCUACGGGGGAAAGCGGGGGAUCUUCGGACCUCGUGCUAUUAGAUGAGUCUGCGUCGGAUUAGCUUGUUGGUGAGGUAAUGGCUCACCAAGGCGACGAUCCGUAGCUGGUCUGAGAGGAUGACCAGCCACACUGGAACUGAGACACGGUCCAGACUCCUACGGGAGGCAGCAGUGGGGAAUAUUGCACAAUGGGCGCAAGCCUGAUGCAGCCAUGCCGCGUGUGUGAAGAAGGCCUUAGGGUUGUAAAGCACUUUCAGCAGUGAGGAAAGGGGUGUCGUUAAUAGCGCCAUCCUGUGACGUUAACUGCAGAAGAAGGACCGGCUAACUCCGUG
rnacentral:rRNA from 1 species